UACGAAGGGGACUAGCGUUGUUCGGAAUUACUGGGCGUAAAGCGCACGUAGGCGGAUUUGUAAGUCAGGGGUGAAAUCCCGGGGCUCAACCUCGGAACUGCCUUUGAUACUGCAAGUCUCGAGUCCGAUAGAGGUGGGUGGAAUUCCUAGUGUAGAGGUGAAAUUCGUAGAUAUUCGCAAGAACACCAGUGGCGAAGGCGGCUGACUGGUCCGGUUCUGACGCUGAGGCGCGAAAGCGUGGGGAGCAAACAGG
rnacentral:rRNA from 1 species